GGAGAGGUGGCCGAGUGGUUAAAGGCGUCAGACUGUAAAUCUGAUCACGUAUGUGUACAUUGGUUCGAAUCCAAUCCUCUCCACCA
rnacentral:tRNA from 1 species